UAUCUCUGUAGAGUCUGCAUAUCAAUAAGCGGAGGAAAAGAAACUAACAAGGAUUCCCCUAGUAACGGCGAGUGAAGCGGGAAGAGCUCAAAUUUGAAAUCUUCAAGAUUUGACCUUGACGAAUUGUAGUUUAAAGAAGUGUUUUCGGUUAGAGGAGUAGUAAAAGUUCUUUGGAAUAGGACAUCAUAGAGGGUGAGAAUCCCGUAUUUGACUAUUCUUUCUAGCUUUGUGAUACACUUUCAAAGAGUCGGAUUGUUUGGGAAUGCAGUCCAAAAUGGGUGGUAAAUUUCAUCUAAAGCUAAAUAUUGGCGAGAGACCGAUAGCGAACAAGUACCGUGAGGGAAAGAUGAAAAGAACUUUGAAAAGAGAGUUAAACAGUACGUGAAAUUGUCAAAAGGGAAGCGUUUGACACCAGUGUUGUUUUUCCGAAAAUCAAUUAAAAAUUGAUUCAUGCCAGGUUGUAUUGACCUUAUCAGCUUGCAAUUUGGUUUUGGGUCUCUUUUUGAUGCACUUUUCGGUUAACAAGUCAACAUCAAUUUCCUUUGCUGUAAAAAGGUAAGAGGAAGGUGGCUUCAAUUUCGGUUGAAGUGUUUAUAGCCUUUUAUCUCUGCAGUCGGGGAGAUUGAGGUCUGCAGCGUAGAUCCUUCGGGGCUAGAUACAUUUAUGCUAAGUUAUAGCUUUUCAUAGACAACUUGUUGACUAUGUUUAGUCAUGUAGCUUACUCGUAAGUGCUAUUUUACCUACGCUUAGGAUGUUGAAGACUCUACAGAGAUA
rnacentral:rRNA from 1 species